rnacentral:rRNA from 1 species
UACGGGGGGAGCAAGCGUUGUUCGGAAUUACUGGGCGUAAAGGGCUCGUAGGCGGCCAACUAAGUCCGACGUGAAAUCCCUAGGCUUAACCUAGGAACUGCGUCGGAUACUGGAUGGCUUGAAUCCGGGAGAGGGAUGCGGAAUUCCAGGUGUAGCGGUGAAAUGCGUAGAUAUCUGGAGGAACACCGGUGGCGAAGGCGGCAUCCUGGACCGGUAUUGACGCUGAUGAGCGAAAGCCAGGGGAGCAAACGGG